GACGAACGCUGGCGGCGUGCCUAAUACAUGCAAGUUGAGCGCUGAAGGUUGGUACUUGUACCAACUGGAUGAGCAGCGCACGGGUGAGUAACGCGUGGGGAAUCUGCCUUUGAGCGGGGGACAACAUUUGGAAACGAAUGCUAAUACCGCAUAAAAACUUUAAACACAAGUUUUAAGUUUGAAAGAUGCAAUUGCAUCACUCAAAGAUGAUCCCUCGUUGUAUUAGCUAGUUGGUGAGGUAAAGGCUCACCAAGGCGAUGAUACAUAGCCGACCUGAGAGGGUGAGCGGCCACAUUGGGACGGAGACACGGCCCAAACUCCUACGGGAGGCAGCAGCAGGGAAGCUUCGGCAAUGGACGAAAGUCUGACCGAGCAACGCCGCGUGAGUGAAGAAGGUUUUCGGAUCGUAAAACUCUGUUGGUAGAGAAGAACGUGGGUGAGAGUGGAAAGCUCAUCAAGUGACGGUAACUACCCAGAAAGGGACGGCUAACUACGUG
rnacentral:rRNA from 1 species